rnacentral:rRNA from 1 species
GAUGAACGCUAGCGGCAGGCUUAAUACAUGCAAGUCGAGGGGCAGGCGGGGGUAGCAAUACCUGCCGGCGACCGGCAAACGGGUGCGGAACACGUACAGAACCUUCCUUUAAGUGGGGAUAGCCCGGAGAAAUCCGGAUUAAUACCCCGUAACAUUGUGUGGUGGCAUCAUCAUAUAAUUAUAGAUUUAUCGCUUAGAGAUGGCUGUGCGGCUGAUUAGGUAGUUGGUGAGGUAACGGCUCACCAAGCCUGCGAUCAGUAACUGGUGUGAGAGCACGACCAGUCACACGGGCACUGAGACACGGGCCCGACUCC